rnacentral:lncRNA from 1 species
UGAGACCCUGAUCUAUGGCAAGAAAGUUUUCCAGAGACCACACGACAUGCAACGCUACAAUAGACGGACUGCAGAAGCAGCUCUGAGAAGCCAGCUGUCUUCUAUUAAGGAAGACACUAAAGAGAUUUGCAAAAAUUGAAACCAUGCAUUCUACUCACUCAUCUUUUAUUGUUGUUCGUUUUAGAAAAUACAGCUAUUUUCAUAAAACAUAUAUAAAUAUAUAAUGGGUUUAUUAUUUUUAAAUGAACUACAA